AAAAAUAGGACUCAUGUUAGCAAGAUGCACAUGAAAAGUAUUAGAUGUCAAGUCUAUGGUUAGUGGAUAAUUUAGCAUUAAAUAUGCCCAUAUAUGUUCUAUCAAACUAUAUUUUUUUAAAACUAUUUCUUUUACAAAAAGAUAUCUGAUAUCGAUGAAUUUUGACUUUGUAGAAUUCAUAUUGUUAUUGGAGUAGAGCACAAAUAAAAUUGAGAAAAUUACCCCUUUUUCACGCCAUGCAACAUACUUGGAACAAUCCUUCUUCACAAGUUUCCGUUUCUUGCAAAAGAAGCAUGCAGACUCCUUAGAUUACUCAUUUGCCUUCUUAUUUUGAGAAAAGUUUUUCACAUACUUCUUCCUUUUAUUUUGUGAGCUAGUAGCCAAGUGAGCAUUUUUAGUCAUCUCUCUCAUCAUCUCUUUUUC
rnacentral:lncRNA from 1 species